CUUGCCCAAGCUUCUUAUGGUUUCGUGUCACAGUGCCAGGAACCUCCCUCCACUGAGAGUUCCAUGCCUUUAUACUCUGAAGUUCUUUCUCAAUGUCUCUGCCAGAUUUCCUUCACACACGUCUUGUUCACUUUGGAAUCACCACGUGAGAGGGAAACCAUACGGAACCAAGAGUACCCACUGGGAGUGGGAAACCAGGAAGAAUCGAGUCACCACGGCCUUGUCUGGGUCGAAAAGCAAGCUUCUGGAAGAAGGAGCCAUGUGAUCGCCUACUCCAGAGGUUUCUUUACCCAUCCAGAUCACGGCAAAGUUCUGGCAAUCACUGGCAAUCACUUCACAAAAGUAAGUUGGAGUCAGCAGUUCCUGUCAUGGCAGAGCUUUCGUCUACACACGUGCAUUCUUCUCAGUCCGGGGGUAAACAUCAAAGCUCCAGCUGCAGUGUUCACAAAGGAACGUUUUCAUCCCAAAUAA
rnacentral:lncRNA from 1 species